GAGCAGCAUUAAGACCUCCUCUCUGUUCAAACACAACCCAGACAUACCUGAGCUCCAGAGACCUGCCGUUUCACAGGUGAAAGAAAAGAUUUUCACCACUGAGUUGUUUUCUGACCUGGACCUUCACCCACACCUGGUGGCGACGUUGAGCAAAGUCCUGAAUGUUGAUAAACUGACAAGGUGAGCACACACGACACCUGUCUGGUCCAUAAUUCUAAUUCUCAGAAUAUUCUCCUGUUCAGGAGGGUGCCCCCUGGUGGUGUUCCCUUAAAUAUAGUACAGUCCUCCCUUGCUAAUCGCCGCGGUUCGGCUGUCGCGCCCUCAGUGCAUCGUGGGUUUUUAAUAUUUUA